rnacentral:rRNA from 1 species
UGGGGAAUAUUGGACAAUGGGCGAAAGCCUGAUCCAGCAAUGCCGCGUGAGUGAUGAAGGCCUUCGGGUUGUAAAGCUCUGUCGGGAGGGACGAAUAGGGUGGUGUAAUGGCCACUUCUGACGGUACCUCCAAAGGAAGCACCGGCUAACUCUGUGCCAGCAGCCGCGGUAAUACAGAGGGUGCAAGCGUUGUUCGGAAUCACUGGGCGUAAAGCGCACGUAGGCGGAUAGUUAAGUCAGGGGUGAAAUCCUGGGGCUCAACCCCAGAACUGCCUUUGAUACUGGCUGUCUCGAGGUUGAGAGAGGUUGGUGGAAUUCCUAGUGUAGAGGUGAAAUUCGCAGAUAUUAGGAAGAACACCGGUGGCGAAGGCGGCCCACUGGACCGGUAUUGACGCUGAGGUGCGAAAGCGUGGGGAGCAAACAGGAUUAGAUACCCGGGUAGUCCCUGAGCGGGCUGGCAAGGCGCAU